rnacentral:lncRNA from 1 species
GCCCUGUGCUGGCCCCUCCUGCAACAAUCGGGUAAGGGGACCCAGGACCACAGGGAGGCUCCAGGGAGCCCCGUGGGUGCCUCCAGCAGCCGUCGGGGGUCUCUGUCCCUCACACCUCAUCUGUGAGGGUCCCUUGGCAAGGCAGCCCCUCCCGCUUGCCCAGGGUGGCAGGCCGGCUGCCCGCAUGCAGAGGCUGCUGGGAGGGUCCCCUCAUGCUCUCCCCUCCCCGUCCCCUGCCUACCCAGCCAGGGCUCUCGCUCCCAGCAGCCAACGGUACAGCCCGCCUCGGUCUCUGGGGUGCUAGAUACACUCUGCCUGGAGCCCAGGUACUGGAACCUCUGUGCCUGGGCCAUGGGGGGCAGGUUAAGGGAGGCCCUGCCCCUGGAGCGCAGGUACUGGAACCUCUGUGCCAGGGCCAUAGGGGGUGGGUUAAGGGAGGCCCUGCCCUGCCCCUCACCUGUCCCCUCAUCUGCACAUCCCUCCUUCGUGUCACCUGCACAGGAGCCCUCACCUCAGUCGGCGCUGCAGAACCAGCCCAGGAGAGCAGCUGGCCUGUCAUCUGCUGAGGAGCGGAGGCGUGCGGGGAUCCGGAGGGGAAGGGGGUCUGGAGUGCUCCGGGGGAGACCCUCAGGGACUGCCCUGCUGCUGGCAGCGCCUGGGCCCACGGCUGAUGGAGGCGUCUCCUGGCCCCCAGGGCUGUGCCCAGGACUGCAAUGG